rfam:Oryza sativa (indica cultivar-group) chromosome 4, whole genome shotgun sequence.
AAAAAGGCAAACCUUGGAUUUCCAUGUACUUUGACUGUCCGUCUUAUAUGAAAUUUUUUUAUAAUUCGUAUUUUCAUUGUUGUUAGAUGAUAAAACAUGAUUAAUAUUUUAUGCGUGACUUGUCUUUUUAAUUUUUUUCAUAAUUUUUUCAAAUAAGACGGACGGUCAAACGUUGGACACGGAAACCAGGGUUUGUCUUUUU